CCUGGCGGCUGUAGCGCGGUGGUCCCACCUGAACCAUGCCGAACUCAGAAGUGAAACGCCGUAGCGCCGAUGGUAGUGUGGGGUCUCCCCAUGCGAGAGUAGGGAACUGCCAGGC
rnacentral:rRNA from 1 species